CCUACGGGUGGCAGCAGUGAGGAAUAUUGGUCAAUGGACGAGAGUCUGAACCAGCCAAGUAGCGUGAAGGAUAACUGCCUUAGGGUUGUAAACUUCUUUUAUAAUGGAAUAAAAUGUUUCACGUGUGGGAUUUUGUAUGUUACAUUUGUAUUAGGAACGGCCAAAUCCGGGCCAGCAGCCCCGGUAAUAAGGAGGAUCCGAACGUUAUCCGGUUUUAUUGGGUUUUAAGGGUGCGUAGGUGGAUUGUUAAGUCAGUUGUGAAAGUUUGCGGCCCAACCGUAAAAUUGGAGGUGAAACUGGCAGUCUUGAGUACAGUAGAGGUGGGCGGAAUUCGUGGUGUAGCGGUGAAAUGCUUAGAUAUCACGAAGAACUCCGAUUGCGAAGGCAGUUCACUGGACUGCAACUGACACUGAGGCUCGAAAGUGUGGGUAUCAAACAGGAUUAGAUACCCCAGUAGUC
rnacentral:rRNA from 1 species